rnacentral:lncRNA from 1 species
AAGCCUACCCUUUUGUUUGAGCCUCUUGUAUGUAUAUAGUGUGUGAUGAUUGUUUGCUUGCGAACUUUUGAUGUGUUUGCUUUUGAUGUUUGUUUGUUAUGGUUGGGAGUCGAAUAUAAGUCCAUGUAUUGGAAUUCUGUUUCCUUUUUGUGGUUGGGAGUCGGAUAUAAGUCCAUGUAUUGGCAUUCUGUUUCCGUUUUUGUUGUUAGGAGUCGGGUGUAAGUCCAUGUAUUGGCAU